rnacentral:rRNA from 1 species
CCUACGGGAGGCAGCAGUGGGGAAUAUUGGGCAAUGGGCGAAAGCCUGACCCAGCAAUGCCGCGUGAAUGAAGAAGGUCUUAGGAUUGUAAAGUUCUGUCGUAUGGGAAGAAGAAAAUGACGGUACCAUAAGAAUAAGCCCCGGCUAACUACGUGCCAGCAGCCGCGGUAAUACGUAGGGGGCGAGCGUUGUUCGGAAUUACUGGGCGUAAAGAGAGCGUAGGCGGUACUACAAGUCUGAUGUGAAAUACCCGGGCUUAACUUGGGGGUUGCAUGGGAAACUGUAAAGCUUGAGUACAGGAGAGGCUAGCGGAAUUCCUAGUGUAGCGGUGAAAUGCAUAGAUAUUAGGAGGAACACCAGUGGCGAAGGCGGCUUGCUGGACUGAAACUGACGCUGAGGCUCGAAAGUGUGGGGAGCAAACAGGAUUAGAUACCCGAGUAGUC